rnacentral:lncRNA from 13 species
UGGAAUAGGGUUCUAUUUGGAUAUGGAACAGGGUUCUAUUUGGAUAUGGAACAGGGUUCUAUUUGGAUAUGGAACAGGGUUCUAUUUGGAUAUGGAAUAGGGUUCUAUUUGCAUAUGGAAUAGUGUUCUAUUUGGAUAUGGAACAGGGUUCCAUUUGGAUAUGGAACAGGGUUCUAUUUGGAUAUGGAACAGGGUUCUAUUUGGAUAUGGAAUAGGGUUCUAUUUGGAUAUGGAAUAGGGUUCUAUUUGGAUAUGGAAUAGGGUUCUAUUUGGNNNNNNNNNNGGCAGAGCACAUCAGCCUGGCUGUCUAUCACAACAAACGGAACCUGGAAGGGAACCAGGGGCUUGUCUGACUGAAUGGCAACCUAUUCCCUCGAUAGUGUAUGGUCCCUGGUCAAAAGUAGUGGGGUAUAAUAUGGAAUAGGGUUCUAUUUGGAUAUGGAACAGGGUUCUAUUUGGAUAUGGAACAGGGUUCUAUUUGGAUAUGGAAUAGGGUUCUAUUUGCAUAUGGAACAGGGUUCUAUUUGGAUAUGGAACAGGGUUCUAUUUGGAUAUGGAACAGGGUUAUAUUUGGAUAUGGAACAGGGUUCUAUUUGGAUAUGGAACAGGGUUCUAUUUGGAUAUGGAAUAGGGUUCUAUUUGCAUAUGGAAUAGGGUUCUAUUUGCAUAUGGAAUAGGGUUCUAUUUGGAUAUGGAACAGGGUUCUAUUUGGAUAUGGAACAGGGUUCUAUUUGGAUAUGGAAUAGGGUUCUAUUUGGAUAUGGAAUAGGGUUCUAUUUGGAUAUGGAACAGGGUUCUAUUUGGAUAUGGAACAGGGUUCUAUUUGGAUAUGGAACAGGGUUCUAUUUGGAUAUGGAAUAGGGUUCUAUUUGCAUAUGGAAUAGUGUUCUAUUUGGAUAUGGAACAGGGUUCCAUUUGGAUAUGGAACAGGGUUCUAUUUGGAUAUGGAACAGGGUUCUAUUUGGAUAUGGAAUAGGGUUCUAUUUGGAUAUGGAAUAGGGUUCUAUUUGGAUAUGGAAUAGGGUUCUAUUUGGGAUGCACACUGAAACAAGUGUUCCUUUGCAAAUGGGACCUUAUUCCCUAUAUAGUGUACCACUGGUCUGUUGCUGUCACAUACAGGAAACUACUGCCUUGUCCAUGGUCUGUCACAUACAGGAAACUACUGCCUUGGUCUGUCACAUACAGGAAACUACUGCCUUGUCCCUGGUCUGUCACAUACAGGAAACUACUGCCUUGUCCCUGGUCUGACACAUACAGGAAACUACUGCCUUGUCCCUGGUCUGACACAUACAGGAAACUACUGCCUUGUCCCCGGUCUGACACAUACAGGAAACUACUGCCUUGUCCCCGGUCUGUCACAUACAGGAAACUACUGCCUUGUCCCUGGUCUGUCACAUACAGGAAACUGGUGGAAACUAGGAAACUUUCCCAUAGGUUAAGAGAUAUUCUCUGGACGCCUCAUAGGAAAAUGAUCAUCACCACAAUGGUCUUUCUAAUAUUAAGCCUUAGUCAUAACAUUAUUCAACCGUUAGAAACCAUUACACUGUUAGUACACACACACACACACACACACAUAGUAAUCCAUUUAAAGCAUUGAACAUUUGCCCCGCAUACAGACAGUAGUGAACAGUAGAGAGAAGGUACAGCUGAGUAGAGGUCAUAAAACGGUCAGGACCAAAUAAAACACAUUCAACAAACAAGCUCUUUAAGUCCUAUAGUUCUCUCCCUCCCUCCCUCUUUCACACUGUUUCUUUCUCCCUCCCUCCCUCUCUGUUUCUUUCUCCCUCCCUCCCUCUUUCUUUCACACUGUUUCUCUCUCUCUCCCUCCCUCUCUGUUUCUCUCUCCCUNNNNNNNNNNCUCCCUCCCUCCCUCUUUCACACUGUUUCUCUCUCUCUCCCUCCCUCUCUGUUUCUUUCUCCCUCCCUCUCUGUUUCUUUCUCCCUCCCUCUCUGUUUCUUUCUCCCUCCCUCUCUCCCUGACCGUGGUUCCACAUCCUCUUACCAAUAACUGCCAGCAGAAUGACUGAUAGUUGUUCAGGCUAGUUCAAACUGUGUUGUAACUCAGAAGGUGUUUUAUUAUAAUCUAUAACUGUGGACAAAAUGCAUUCCCAUAAGAGACAACAGUUAGUUACUUUUACAAGUGUUCGUUGUGUUUUCACUUUGUGGAUUACGUGUGUAUUGUUUUGUAUUANNNNNNNNNNCUCCCUCCCUCCCUCUUUCACACUGUUUCUCUCUCUCUCCCUCCCUCUCUGUUUCUUUCUCCCUCCCUCUCUGUUUCUUUCUCCCUCCCUCUCUGUUUCUUUCUCCCUCCCUCUCUCCCUGACCGUGGUUCCACAUCCUCUUACCAAUAACUGCCAGCAGAAUGACUGAUAGUUGUUCAGGCUAGUUCAAACUGUGUUGUAACUCAGAAGGUGUUUUAUUAUAAUCUAUAACUGUGGACAAAAUGCAUUCCCAUAAGAGACAACAGUUAGUUACUUUUACAAGUGUUCGUUGUGUUUUCACUUUGUGGAUUACGUGUGUAUUGUUUUGUAUUACUAGGUAUUACUGAACUGUUGGAGCUAGGAUUUCGUUGCAACUCCAAAUCUGUGUACGCGACAAAUAAAACGUUGAUUUGAUUGCAGUCACAGAGACAGAGUAAUCUUAAAUAUUUUCGAAUGUAUGAUUGAAGAAAAUCUCACUAUUAAAAUGAAUAUCAAAUAUGGAUCUAACAUGCUGUCGAUCUUGAAGAGUAUAAGCUAAUAUGACAAUUCCGUCUUUUCGGUUCCGUUUAACUAAAAUGAAACCACCACCCAGUUGUGUCCCUCCCCAUCGACAGAUUCACUCGUGAACUAGGCGGGGCCCGUAUCUCACGCAUAUAGAACUAGCUGCAGCUUUCAGGGCAUAAAACGGUACAAAACUAAUACGAAUAGAUACAAAUGUUAUCUAAAAAAAAUUGCGCAUUUGAUAACCGCUUGAAUAAUUCCAGGCGUCCUGUUGUGAUAAUCGAUAAGAACCCAGUGUCCCAAAGAACGUGUGUAAUUCUAGACAAUCGAAUAACUUUUCCAUUUCCGUUGUAACUUCAACCCCGUCACGGGAAGGAUAUCGGUCAAAACGCUGUUCUUUUUGUUANNNNNNNNNNACUCCAAAUCUGUGUACGCGACAAAUAAAACGUUGAUUUGAUUGCAGUCACAGAGACAGAGUAAUCUUAAAUAUUUUCGAAUGUAUGAUUGAAGAAAAUCUCACUAUUAAAAUGAAUAUCAAAUAUGGAUCUAACAUGCUGUCGAUCUUGAAGAGUAUAAGCUAAUAUGACAAUUCCGUCUUUUCGGUUCCGUUUAACUAAAAUGAAACCACCACCCAGUUGUGUCCCUCCCCAUCGACAGAUUCACUCGUGAACUAGGCGGGGCCCGUAUCUCACGCAUAUAGAACUAGCUGCAGCUUUCAGGGCAUAAAACGGUACAAAACUAAUACGAAUAGAUACAAAUGUUAUCUAAAAAAAAUUGCGCAUUUGAUAACCGCUUGAAUAAUUCCAGGCGUCCUGUUGUGAUAAUCGAUAAGAACCCAGUGUCCCAAAGAACGUGUGUAAUUCUAGACAAUCGAAUAACUUUUCCAUUUCCGUUGUAACUUCAACCCCGUCACGGGAAGGAUAUCGGUCAAAACGCUGUUCUUUUUGUUACCCAACCGCGCGACCGACAACUGUCGCUGGAUUACAAACCCGCGGAGAAUGCCGCGUUCUGCAUUAUGCAUGACAAAAAAAUAAAUACAAAUUGUCUGACCAAACAUUAUGAGUUGGAUUGUUUCACUCUCUGCUCCGCCAUAUUCUAGGCAUAUGACCUGCGCUUCCGCAAACCGUGUGUUGUGCAUCCCCAGAAACCGGUCUCCCGUUUUCAUUUGCAAUAAUGGAUCAUUCUACCUGAAAAAAACCUGGCAUCAUGUGCCACUAUUUCGCAUUAUCCCGAGCGGCCGAAAACGCCGCAAACAUGGCACAGAUAGUAACAAAAUCUCAGCCAAUAGAAAUGUGUGUAGAUAAGGUACUUACAGUUAUUCUCCGUAGCUCCAAUCUGUUAGCGCCUCUAGUCGCUCGGUCUGUCGCUUCUCUCUGGGUGAGGUUUUGCGUUUUCUCAUGACGUUGCAGCCUCGUUUUGAGACGAGCACCGCUCGACUGUGCUCAGCUAUUGCAGUAGCUGUAACAUAGCCUAGUGUAGACAUUUCGCAAUACAUUAUUUCAUACCAAUAAUAUCUGACUGACAAACAAUACGCUUUAUUAUACAAUGCACCAGAGGAAGCCGAACCCCAGCAUUUAGUGGAGGUUCCUCAAGGGAGGACCAUCCUCCUCAGGGAAUUUAAUACAACAUUUAAAUAGUGACAAAUAAACUAAAUGUAUCUUUUUUUUUUAGAUAAAACUAUAAAUAUAUUCUCCUCACCAAAUAAUUGAUUAAAAUUUAAAUUAAGAUUAAAAUUAAAACCUAUGAAGGUUUACAUUAACUAGGACUUGCCUAAUUAUAAAGAAGAAGGUUAAAUUAGCCUCAACAGCACCAGAUGACAGCUAGCUUCCACCCUUCCAUCUGGGUACAUUGACUUACAAUACAAAGCCUAUAUUUUUACAUUUUAACAGUCACUCUUAUGCAGAGUACAUACAUUUUCAUACUGGUCACCCGUUGUAAUCAAACCCAUAACCCAGGCUUUACAAGCUCAAUGCUCUACCAACUGAGCUACACAGGACCUAGGAGGCUCAUGGUUCUCAACCCCCU